AUUUUAGAACUACUGCAUUUAAGGUCUGUGUUUCGUGUAGGCUUACCCUGGCGUGAUGUUUUGAUAACCGUGCAAAUCUCUCUCGGGCAAGCUACAGGCAGGGAUGACUGGGGCCUACAGCAAGUAAGACAGGGGGGCUUCCAUGUCUUCUCCCUGGACUUUCUCAAUGUCCAGCUCUUGAACAUCA